CCUACGGGGUGCACCAGUAGGGAAUCUUCGGCAAUGGACGAAAGUCUGACCGAGCAACGCCGCGUGAGUGAAGUAGGUUUUCGGAUCGUAAAACUCUGUUGUUAGAGAAGAACAAGGACGUUAGUAACUGAACGUCCCCUGACGGUAUCUAACCAGAAAGCCACGGCUAACUACAUGCCAGCAGCCGCGGUAAUACGUAGGUGGCAAGCGUUGUCCGGAUUUAUUGGGCGUAAAGCGAGCGCAGGCGGUUUCUUAAGUCUGAUGUGAAAGCCCCCGGCUCAACCGGGGAGGGUCAUUGGAAACUGGGAGACUUGAGUGCAGAAGAGGAGAGUGGAAUUCCAUGUGUUGCGGUGAAAUGCGUAGAUAUAUGGAGGAACACCAGUGGCGAAGGCGGCUCUCUGGUCUGUAACUGACGCUGGGGCUCGAAAGCGUGGGGAGCAAACAGGAUUAGAUACCCGUGUAGUC
rnacentral:rRNA from 1 species